rnacentral:rRNA from 1 species
ACACGACCGUACCGCAAACCGACACUGGUGCGCGAGAUGAGUAUUCUAAGGCGCUUGAGAGAACUCAGGAGAAGGAACUCGGCAAAUUGACACCGUAACUUCGGAAGAAGGUGUGCCCUAUUAGUGUGAAGUGAACAACGGAGCAUGAAUGGGUUGCAAAAAAUCGGUGGCUGCGACUGUUUAUUAAAAGCACAGCACUCUGCAAACACGAAAGUGGACGUAUAGGGUGUGACGCCUGCCCGGUGCUGGAAGAUUAAAUGAUGGGGUGCAAGCUCUUGAUUGAAGUCCCAGUAAACGGCGGCCGUAACUAUAACGGUCCUAAGGUAGCGAAAUUCCUUGUCGGGUAAGUUCCGACCUGCACGAAUGGCGUAACGAUGGCCACACUGUCUCCUCCUGAGACUCAGCGAAGUUGAAAUGUCUGUGAUGAUGCAAUCUCCCCGCGGAAAGACGGAAAGACCCUAUGAACCUUUACUGUAGCUUUGUAUUGGACUUUGAACAGAUCUGUGUAGGAUAGGUGGGAGGCUUUGAAGCAGGGUCGCUAGAUCUUGUGGAGCCAACGUUGAAAUACCACCCUGGUGUGUUUGAGGUUCUAACCUAGGUCCAUUAUCUGGAUCGGGGACAGUGCAUGGUAGGCAGUUUGACUGGGGCGGUCUCCUCCCAAAGCGUAACGGAGGAGUUCGAAGGUACGCUAGUUACGGUCGGACAUCGUGACGAUAGUGCAAUGGCAUAAGCGUGCUUAACUGCGAGACUGACAAGUCGAGCAGAUGCGAAAGCAGGACAUAGUGAUCCGGUGGUUCUGUAUGGAAGGGCCAUCGCUCAACGGAUAAAAGGUACUCUGGGGAUAACAGGCUGAUACCGCCCAAGAGUUCAUAUCGACGGCGGUGUUUGGCACCUCGAUGUCGGCUCAUCUCAUCCUGGGGCUGUAGCCGGUCCCAAGGGUAUGGCUGUUCGCCAUUUAAAGAGGUACGUGAGCUGGGUUUAAAACGUCGUGAGACAGUUUGGUCCCUAUCUUCCGUGGGCGCUGCAGAUUUGAGGAAGCCUGCUCCUAGUACGAGAGGACCGGAGUGGACGCACCUCUGGUGUAUCGGUUGUCACGCCAGUGGCAUUGCCGAGUAGCUAAGUGUGGAAGAGAUAACCGCUGAAAGCAUCUAAGCGGGAAACUCGUUUCAAGAUGAGAUCUGCCGGGGCCUUGAGCCCCCUAAAGAGUCGUUCAAGACCAGGACGUUGAUAGGUCAGGUGUGGAAGC